AUGUUGGGGCCUCUCUGACAGUAGACACAGUAAUCGUCCCCUAGCUUCCAAUCCCCUUGUCAGUGAGCAAAAACAAUCUUUCUGCAACUGCUGAAGGUAUUGGUGACAUUGGAGGUUAAAUAUUCCUACUAUAUCAUGGCUGGCAUUUUUAUUGUCACAAGAGCAAUGGAUGUCAGGAGUUCAGGACUUAAGAUGGAGUUUAUCUCAUGACAGAGGAAAUGCUGAGUCCACUGGCGUCUGGAAUCGGGUGGCCAAAGGUGCAUUGAGGACGGAAACACUGUGAUCACAGGGAAUGAGUUCAGCUGACCUGAUUAUUUCUUUUUAUAACGAUGACAGCUUAGAACAUAUCGAUUGAGGUGAUCAGCAUUUAGGUCUUUCAUAGUUAGUAAGGAACUGUUCAAUUUAUAUUGGAAACCAUCACUAUCCAGGGCCUUUAAUGAGGUAUGUGGUACCCAGGAGAGGAGGACAGUUAACAUCACAGAAGUGGGUGCAGGACCAAGAGAGGAAAAAUGCUCCUUUUUUAGGCCAUCAAAUCACUUUCCUCUGCCCUGCUCAGUGGUUUGUAGGCCCUUUGGCAAGUUCCUUAGCCUCUUGUAACCUCAGUUUCUUCUUCUGUAAAAUGGGCUAGUCGUGCCAUUAUCUCCAGGAGUAGUUUAUGGUUUGUGAGGAUUAAAAGUGAUAAUGUGUGUGCAGUAAAUAUUUUCAGGAAAUGUUGCUCACUGUUAAUUCAGGUGAUGGUGUUGGUGCUUCCGAAGGCCAUUUGAAAUGGGAACAUCGUAGGCUCAUUUCAGUAUGACUGGGGGCUUUCUGAAGAAAAUGGCCUGAAUGAAGAGUUGCCGCAGGGUGUUCUGGCUCCUUGACUUGUCACUUCAUCUUCAGGCAGUGCAGGUUUAACCAAAAGAUAAUGCGUUUUCCUUGAAAAAGUGUUUGACACUUGACCUAACUCAUGGGAGCAUGUGCUAAUUUUAUCAUUAAUCAGAGAAUUCUGUCCAUUUCUGUAUGUAUUGCUGUAGAGUGGACUUCAAGUUAUCUGCACAAUUAUCCAGUUCUGUGUUACCUGAGAGGGUAGGGGCCUUUGUCAGUCUCUUCCUGCUGUGUCCUCAGCACCUAGAAUAGCUCCUGCACAUAGUAGGUGCUCAAUAAAUAUUGGUUGAAUCAAUGAAAUAAUAUGUCUGUAGGGGUUUAAUAUUUCCUCUGGGAAAGGCCAUAUCCCAGAGAAAUGGAAACUUAAGUUCACACAAAAACCUGUACAUAAAUGUUCACAGCAUCAGUAUUCGUAAUAGCCCCAAAGUGAAAGUAACCCAGAUAUUCUUCAGCUGGUCAGUGGUUGAACAAAUUAUGGUGGAUCCAUACCAUGGAACACUACUCAGCAAUAAAAUACACCAGACACGGUACACUAACAACUUGGAUAAAUCUUGAAGGAAUUAUGCUGAGUAAAAAAAGCCAGUCUCAAAAAAGAUGACAUACUAGAUGAUUCCAUUUAUAUAGCAUUCUUGAGAAGACAGAAAUGGAUAACAGGCUAGGGCUGGGAGCAGGGAGGGAAGUAGGUGUGAUUAUAAAAGGGCAGUGUGAGGGCCCCUUAUGGUGAUAGAAAUGUUGUGUAUGUUGCCUGUAUCAGUGUCAGUGUCUUAGUCAUGGUUUUGUAUUGUUACUUUGUGAGUUAUUACCAAGGGAAAAAGUGGGUGAAAGGUAUGGGAGAUCUCUCUGCAUUCUUUGUUACAGCUGCAUUAAUCUACAAUUAUCUCACAAUAAGAAGUUCAGUAUUAAAAAAUGAGGGACUGAAAGCCCUUCAUUAAUCAUGAGAGAUACAAUGGGCUGAACCCUUAUUCUGUGAUAUAUUAACUCAGGUUUACACAGCAGCCUCAUGAAGUAGACGGAUGUGACGUCACCAUUUUAUGGGGAGGAAAACAAGCUCAGAGAGGUUAGGGGACUUGUCUGAAGACUCACAGCUGGCAGGUGGUGGAGGUGAGACACAAAACCUGGGAGUGUCUGGCCCCAAACCCUGAUUUUUUUCCUCUAGACAUGCAUCGCUGAGUCUCUGCUCUUUGGAUGCUGGCAGAGCCAGGAAGCUCGCUUCCUUCAUGCAGUCACCUGACGUCUGACCCUUAGGUGGGCACCUCAGGUGACUGCUAAAGUGACUGACAACUUGGUAGGGGAGAGNNNNNNNNNNNNNNNNNNNNNNNNNNNNNNNNNNNNNNNNNNNNNNNNNNNNNNNNNNNNNNNNNNNNNNNNNNNNNNNNNNNNNNNNNNNNNNNNNNNCUAAAGUGACUGACAACUUGGUAGGGGAGAGGUGGCUGAGAGUAAGCCUAGGCUUCCCACCUGGCUGCUCCUAAGUGACCUGCUGACCUCAGAAGUCACGACCCCCUCCCCUCCCCACUCCUUUGGCUUAUGCGAGGGUGUUGAAGUAUUGGUUUCAUUAUACCCAUUUUACAGGUGGGGAGACUGAGGCACAGGAUGGAAAAGGAACUGGGGUUGUUCCAGGUGGAGGUGUGGUCCUUGGUCCUUUCCACCUCUAGCAUUCUGUGGUGGUAAUUAUAGUUCCUUUGACUUGUCUUACCCAGCUGCUGUUUUCAGGGCAAUGUGGCACAGGUUCUGCAGUGAAGUGCGUGGCUCUGAGAUGGAGUCCUUGCCCUACAAAUCUCCAGACUGUGGCCUGGGGCGAGUGAUUUCUCUUUUCUAAGCCUCACUUUCCUCAUCUGAGAAAUGAGGAUAAUGAGGACUAAGUAAGAAAACUGAUAACACUUGGCAGGAAACAAACAUCGCUGCCAACAUCUGAGGUCUGAUUGGAAACUCUUACCUAACUGCCCUGAUGUUCAGAGCUCUGAGCAGAGUACGUUGAAAGGAGCAAAGCCCCUUCCGAGUUAUAUGCCCUGACAUGGCUUCUUGGGGCACGUGAUCUCCUGUGCUCAAGUUCUGCUUAGCUCUUGGUUUCCUGAGCAGGAUGGUGUGUGCUGUAAUAGAGGACAUCCAGAGGGGCUGGGAGGCUUUCUGCCACAGAUAGCACCUAAACUGAGAGCUGAAAGAUGACUAGGCUUUGCUGGGUGAGUGGGAGGCAGAGGACAGAGGGACAUUCCAGGGAGAGGGAACAGUGGGUGCAAAGGCUCAGAGGUUAGAGCAGAUGCAUUUGGGAAAGUAACCAGGAUGG
rnacentral:lncRNA from 1 species